GGCCUGCGGAAGGAUCAUUG
rnacentral:rRNA from 1 species